GGCGGGGUCCCUAACGCCUGGCGAGGGGGGUCUCUAACCCAGGACCCCAAGCUGGCCGCAAGCAAGCCCAAGGCCCAGAAUCGAGCCAGGCGUUCUUUCCAGCUGCGACGGUUGACGACCGGAAAACCGAUGACAACCUGUGGCGACCGAAGGUGGCGGUGGCGAUUGUCGCACGUCGUCGUGGUGUGCCUGGCGGUGAAGACAGCGGGAUUCGGAGUCCAGGGAUCUGAGCGUCUGGGUCUACCUCACGGAUUUCUCCUUGAGCGUAGUGGGACGAAUGAUAAAAGCCCACCUUCGGCCGCCUGCAGGCCCAACGGGAGGUGGAAGACUGGCCAGGAGCUCGAUCAGAAUGCAAGCUUCAGGAGGGCUGGGACCUUUCCUUCUUGCUCACUGCUCUCAUCUUUAUCUCUGGACAGCAUUUAUUGGCCACCAUGAACAACCCAUCCCCUGGCCUGACUGGAAGCAGGUGACACAGACCCACAAGAGCACAGGUGGAUUUCCUUGUGCAACAAAGUCGCUGGACACAAGAUUUGCACUUCGCAUAGUACUGAAAGGUUCUUAGUUAUUCUAAGUGAAAAUCAGAGCUCUGUUCAACUGAUUCUAAAAAUGAAAUCUAUGGAAAAAUAUCUCGUCUUUAAAAAUCUCCCAAAUAUGUAUACAUUGUAUACAUCUAUAGCUUAGAAUUGCAUUAUGGUUGGGUCUAAGCCUAGAUCACCUUCCGUAGAGAAACCUGUACAGAAUAAGACCUUUUCCUCCUUUCCUUCCUCCCUCCCCACCUCCCUUCCUCCCUCCCUCUCUCUGUCUUUCCUUUUCUUUCCUCCAAUACUGAACAACAAGCCAUGUGCCAGGCUUUGCUCAAGGUAGAGGUGCAGAGGUGAACAGGAUAGUCAAGUGUCCUCCUCCCCCCUCCACCUCCUGGAGUCUACAUUCUAUUGGCCGAGCUGAAAAUAAACAAAGAAACUAAGAGCAAUAAACAAAGAAACGACAGCAAUCUUUCCUUCAUGGAUCUUAUAUUAUAGUAAAGACAUGUGCCCCAACCUUAUGUUUGUUAAUGGUUAAUUUGCUAAUUAGCUAAGUAAUUAUUUCAAUAAUAAUUGAAUAAUAAUAAUAAACAUUGCCUGAGCACCCUCUAUGUACCUCUGCGAGUUGUGAGUGUAAAUAGUCUGAUAUGACUGUGUUUACCUUAAGUCGUGGCUCAGUGAAGGAGAAGGUCAAGAAGAACUAUAAAACAGCUGGAUAAGUACUGUACAAGAGGGGUACCUUGGAUAGCCAUGGAAGGAGGGGACUCCCCCAGCUCACUCAGGAAGCACCUGAAGCUUAAAUUAAUUUCUGUUCACAACGGUCUUCUAUAGCCAGAAAAUGCAAAAUGCAAAAUCUAAAGUGAAAGGUUUUUUUUUUACAAAAUCACUAUCAUAUUACCAUUAUCACACCUCUAUCAACAAUAAUUCCAUAACCAAAUUUCACUGUUCACAUUUGCCCAACUGUCUGAUAAUAUUUUUUAAAAGUUGGCUUGCUUGAAUCAAGAUCCACAGAAGGUCCACACAAUGCAUUUGGUUGCUAUGUCUCUGAAGUCUCUUUGAAUCUGGCUAUUUCAUUCCUUCUCAGUUAUUUGUUGCCAAAAGCCAAGUUGUCUUUCCUGUUGUGUGCCCAACAUUUUGCAAUAUGUUCGUUGCAUCCCCACUGUGUUAUUUAACAUGUUCUUCUGUCCCCUAUAGUUCCUGUAAAUUGUUAGCUGGGUCUAGAGACAUGAUCAGAUUCAGAUUCAAGUUUAUGGCAAAAAUAGCACAUUGGUGAUGAUGCAUACUUUCUGUUGUAUCACGCAGGAAUUCACAUAGUCUCCCUCUGGGUUAUUAAGAAGACGAGAGGUUCAGGUGUUAUCAGGCUCUAGGUUCUUUCCACUUAUGCUCAGCUUCCCACUUUUCUUGUCUUCUGCUACUAAGGACAUGAUCACAAGUUCAUUUAUUCUUCAUGAUCACAAAAUAGCUAUAAUUGCCAAAGUACCAUAGCUUCCCUCACACAUUUCUCAAAGACUGGAAGGAGAAAAGAGAAGCUGUCCCUUCCCCCAUCCUUUCUUAAGAGUAAGAAAACUUUCUCAGAAGCCUCUUGGAUAAUUUUUCCUCCUGUCCCAUCAGGUAACUGAUUUACCUGUCCAUCCCUUAACCAAUAACAAAGGGCAAAUAAAUACCCUGGAGGCUAAGAUGAACUAAAAUUCUCCCCAGGGGCUAAAGAAGGGCCCACCUUCCUCUAAAACAGACAGACAUCAGGUAUAUGAACCAAAUCUGCGUUCAGUUACCAAGGAAGAAGGAGAGGCAUGAGUAGCCAGUUGUGUCUGCUAUACCAUUCAAUAGAGGAUCAGCCUUGCAUAACUUCAUGCUGUGUAAUGGGAAGGGCUCUCUGCUCAACUAACAAAACGUACAUCUUGUCCGUGAAUACCUUCACUCCAGGUCCUUGCCUUGCGGGAGCACAUGACCUCCAUGCUCUCCUGUUUGAUUCCAUCAACAGUUCACUUGUGAGAAAUAAUAUUCACUGAGGAUGGCAAAAACUUAGCACUCCACUCAUCACUCAAGAUGGAAUCUUCCAAACUUGGUUCCCUGGUUGAGUUUGAUGGGUGUAAAGAAAACCCAUGUCCCCCGCCCUGCAAAAACUUCUCUCCCUUCUUGUUCAUGAGAAGAACUGAUUUACCAGAGUGAAAUGGUUUACUCUCAGGAGCCAGGGCUCUUCAUUCUCAGGAACUAUACAUUGAACAAAUGAGUGAAUGUCUGCUUUUAAAAUAUAUAAAUGACUUGGAAGAAAAUAUUUACAUACUUAAUGCAAUUCUAAGAGAAAUUCUAAUGUGGUUUUAUUUCAUCUGGAAGUGUAAAUCAAUGCAACGGGUAAGAAAGUGUUUUAUCUUUUCAAAAAAAUUAUGUUUGUCUUUGUUAAAUAAUGAGGUAACAUGUAUAGCUGUAUAACUCAAAUUAUAUGAAAAUUAAUUAUCUCUUUUCUCUCCUAUAAUCCUAUUGUGAUAACAUACUAAUGAUUUGGUAUAUGUGAUUCCAUACCUUUCCCUAGGCUCAAACAUUAAUAACUGGAUAAGAACAUUUCAGUUUGGUUGUGCUGUAAUUUCUGCAAUCUCCUUUUGAAUGUGAUUUGGGUUGUUCCUAGGUUGUUGGAUUUUUUUGCCAUCAAUUAUGUUACAAUAGACCAUCCCUGCACAUAUGUUCUUAAGUACUGCCACUUUUAUUUCUAUCAAAUAGAUUGUUAUGAAGAGCAAUGUGAGGUCCUUUAAUAUUUUAAUGACUUUGAAGGAUUGCUUUCCCCAAAAGUUUAACAGUUCGCAC